rnacentral:rRNA from 1 species
GAUCCUGGCUAAGGACGAACGCUGGCGGCGCGCCUAACACAUGCAAGUCGAACGAGCGAGAGAGAGCUUGCUUUCUCAAGCGAGUGGCGAACGGGUGAGUAACGCGUGAGGAACCUGCCUCAAAGAGGGGGACAACAGUUGGAAACGACUGCUAAUACCGCAUAAGCCCACGGCUCGGCAUCGGGUAGAGGGAAAAGGAGCAAUCCGCUUUGAGAUGGCCUCGCGUCCGAUUAGCUAGUUGG